UAUAAGUACAUAAGGGAUGGUGCAGUAUUCUAGUCAGCCCUCCGUUCCUGAAGGCGGGCCUAAAAAUCCGCCAAAGGGCAUAUCGAUGAAGUUCCUUGUGUUGGCUUGAGGCGCCCAGCCUUGGGUCGAUGCUGGGAGUUAAGGUAGUGGGGCGAUCCGCAAAGGCAUGUGGGCGUUGACCCUGCUUCCGCGGAGGCCCAUAUCUGUGAUGGUUUCUUAGCCGGAAAUCAUGAUGGAAUGGGGUAUGAACCUGCUUUAUAUGGAGGAAUUCUGUAUGAGCAGCGUAGCCUGCCUUGAGUGGGCUUGAGGGGAUUAUGGAAUUAAAGAUGCGUGGAAGGAUGGCCACCUUUUCACGGGUUUUUUCGCCAUAUGAAAUCAAGCCUGCAAAAGAGGCUAAGGAACGGUUAAAGGCUGUUGAGGAAAUCUCCUAGACUGUUUGCCAAGACACGCAAUAGGAAUUAUAGUGCGGACUGAGUGGUAAUCCAGUCCGGCUUUCGGAAACGGAGUCGAUCCGGGUUUAAAGGGGAACCGCCAGAAUGGUGACAUUCGGUAUCUGGAUGGGAAAACCUACUGGACCUAAGCCGCAAUUUUUACCUAUUGGGUGACCAUUCCUUCUCUUACAUAA
rnacentral:sRNA from 1 species